UACCGCGACAGGUCCCCGAGAAAAAGUAGAGAGUGGCGUCGGAGGAGAGAGGAAAACGGAAAGGUGAAGGGCUUCGAUCCCAACGGCGGCGGCGGCGGCGGGGUAGAGAGGAGGCCGUGGCCCGUGGCUUCCUUCCGGCCGAAGAGGGUGUAUAGAAGAGGAGAACUAACGAUGGAGUAUCGUUCCGCACCGGGUCGAGAAGUGGUACCGCGGCUGUCGUUCCGUCCGUCGCGGCGCUCGAGAGCAGUGCUCCUUCGGCGUCCUCCUGCUCCAGUUCGGCCUGAUCCAGCUACGCGGGGGGACGGUAUGGAGGAAGAAGAGAACGCCCAACCAACGACCGAACGACGACAAAGACCACGGUCCUCGUGGUCCGACGUAGUAUUCUGCGGAGUUGUCGCUGGCUGCUUCAGCAGCUCGGCUCCACUCUUGGGGGAAGCCGGGAAGGGUGCGGAAGGGUACGACGGGGGAGGCACCAAUAAUCGGCGAUCGGCAUACAUGACGGCUGUACGUUCGGAAAACUCACUCAAGGAGGUAUAAAGUAGUUAAGUCCAACCAAGUAUGUGUAGUGUCGAUUACUACAAGUGAAAACGAAACCGUUUUACAAACCGGCACCUUCCUUUCGGAAAACCACACCCAUAUAUGCCAAUAGGAUAACUCUAGGUUCGAGAUAACAUGUACUUUAAUUCUACACGAGAAGUUUACGAAUUCGGCCUACGGCGGCUGCGGAAGGCGGGACGCGACGUGGACGUACUGCACGGAGGCCGCCAGCGGAGCUAGGCGCCGGACGUCCGGCCGACCGGCAGGCAGUCUAAUCGUGUUCCUUCUGCAACGCGGUAACUAGCUAGUUCCUUCGAUUACUUCUCUAAGAAACCUUUUAGUUGUUGGGUGUUAUACGGAUUUCUCCACUGUUAAUUUGCGAAGGAACCCUUUUUAGCGGCACCCUACUUUGUCUUCCUCCAAGUGAUGUGUCUUCUGAUGGAGGUCUUCACGUAAUUGGUUCUAGUACUACGUAACGGUUAGUUCGAACGUCUACCGCUCCAGGGGCAGCAGAGAGCGGAGUAGUGUCCCUUACUGUCCUACUGGUGGUAGUGUUGGUUGACCUGUCUCAAGGUGACAGUACGUUUGUACGUACUCCCACUGUAGACGCGGAAGAUGAAGUCUGCGUUCCGUUCCCGCGGUUGUGGCUUUGGGAUAGGUAGGUGUAAAGGGGGGAGGGCAGGCGGCGGCGGCGGUAAAAUGAGCAGCAGGUGGUGAUCAUCAUCGGUACGGGGUGCGGCGAUACUCUUCCUCCUCCUACUCCUACUCCACCUCCACCUCCUCUUACUCCUCCUUCUCCUCGUCCCCCUCCUACUCCUCCUACGCCCCUCGCGCUUAGUUGUCCGCUAGGAACUAAGGGAAACCAGCCUUAACCGCCGCCUCGUGUGACGCCUGCAGCUGCUCUACGAGCACAUAUACCUACUACCACUACUCCUCCUCGGGAGUACGUGCGGGUAGAUGGGUCGCGGGCCGUGGCUGUAGUACCUGUAGAAGCUACUACUUCGCAUACAAACAUUUGUACAGCUCACCACCUGCGAACUCCCCGAUUUAAACCCAUCAGCCCGGCGGGGUGAGCUGAAAUGCCACGUGUAUGGCUUGAAAUACCUGGUUCUCUCCGAAUGCCAGGAAGGCUGCCUUCUUGUUGCGUACUUAUACACGGUUUUGAGGUUUCAGCUGAAUCUUUUACACUCCGUUGCAGAUUCUCUUUCAAAACAAUUCUCGGGGCUUAAGCCGCGAGUAGCGGAGAGUGAGCGAGUUUGCUUCUACUUUUUUCCUUGUGUGACCUAAAAGAAGGCCGCGUGUUUACGGUAAGGCACGUUCGCUGCGGAGCCGACGUGCUUGCUGGAGUGAAAUGACCUGUGCAUGGGGCCGAGCCACCGUGUAUGGUGUGGCCGAGCCGUUCAUUGGCCGUGUAUGUACUCUCUAACGUACGGGACCUCUGAUUGAGGCCGUUGAUGAGUACCUGUUGUUGGACGGGCCGAGGAUACGGUGAGUGUGUAGUUCGAUGAUCGAUGUUGGGGUGUACGUCGAUUGGUUGGCGAUUCCGCGCACAAACCAACGGGCGUACGUCGGGUUGGUCCGGGCGCGCCCUACACGCGCCGGACAAACCAACGGACCCAACGUACACCAAACACCGGGCGUGCCUGAAAUUUCGUCGGGCAUCGGACCGGGUCGCCUUUGACAGCCAAAGAGCGCUCGGACCGAGCUGCGCCGGUGCGCAGGCUCCGUCAACGUGCGGAGCACGUCGCGCCCUCUGCCUCCCCUGCAGAGUAUUGAGCGGGGGUGAGAGGACAGUGGCAGGUCAGCGUGACAAGGGUGGCGAGGGAGAGAUGGAGCGGCGGGGAGGGAGAGGAGAGGAGGCUACCGAGACGGAGCGGGUGGCGACGCGGCGGGAGAUUGGGGGCAGCUGGUCGCGUAGCGGUCGUAGAUCCUCGCGACCGACCGGCCCGAGGUCUUGAGCCCGGCUCUGGACCGCAGUCGCAACGCUCGCGGCAGGGGGUAGACGACAGCCGGUGGUGCUCGCGGCCGGUUACGCCACGGCCGGCAAGGACGAGGCGGCGGCUAAGGCCUGGAGCACCAGGACCCGAGCCGCGACCGCGGCAGGUGUCUCGGCGGCGAAGAACCCUGGGGUAACCCGUCCCCCCAAAAGAACUGGGGGCAGGUUCCCAAAAGACCACAGCCGCCCGGCAGGAGGAGCUGGAAGCCGCACCGCUACUCGUGCCCCGGCUACGGCGUCCGGCAGCGGUCCCGGCCGAGGAGGAGACGAGGCGGUGGAGAGAGGAAGGGCGACCCCAAAAGUGGGGCCGGAGCCAAGCGACGCGCACGAAGCACCGUAAACGAGAACCCGUUUACAGAGACUAGUCACGGUAAAACGUUUCUCAAACACGUGAUUAUGAACAGCAGAAUGGACUGUUCUAUGACUUCUGACUGACCCUACACCGCCCACCUCCUCGAGUCCACCACCGGCCUCGACUCCCGCGGCUCCUAAAGUAGGGGUGCUUGUCCACCGAAUCCUGCCACCUGGACGGACCGUCCUAGCGGAAGUGCUCGGACGCAGUAAGUUCCCCUGCUAGAGGCUCCGUCCCGGUGCUCCUCCCCCCGGCCCUCGGCGACGCGAAGAUGGUCGUCUAGUUCCUGUUACUCCUGGAGCGGUACGAGCAGCAGGGAGGGUUCAGGUCUUGAAGCUCCCCCGUGUACCACGAACCGGCCCCGACCUUGAUGAAGACGGCGGCGGUGGCCUAUUAGGGGUCGCUGGAGCAGCAACACGCGUAGAGUCCUGAGCCUAACUUCACACACCGCUCUGAACACAACCCUUGAACAAGUAUAAAACCGGUCCUCGUCGUGGGACCGUACCUCGUCCCUUCCUCCUACGGGUACGAUAAUUAGAUC
rnacentral:rRNA from 1 species